rnacentral:rRNA from 1 species
GACGAACGCUGGCGGCGUGCUUAACACAUGCAAGUCGUACGGUAAGGCCCUUUCGGGGGUACACGAGUGGCGAACGGGUGAGUAACACGUGAGUAACCUGCCCACAACUUUGGGAUAACGCUAGGAAACUGGUGCUAAUACUGGAUAUGUGCUCCUGCUGCAUGGUGGGGGUUGGAAAGCUCCGGCGGUUGUGGAUGGACUCGCGGCCUAUCAGCUUGUUGGUGGGGUAGUGGCCUACCAAGGCGGCGACGGGUAGCCGGCCUGAGAGGGUGACCGGCCACAUUGGGACUGAGAUACGGCCCAGACGCCGACGGGAGGCAGCAGGGGGGAAUAUUGCACAAUGGGCGCAAGCCGGAUGCAGCAACGCCGCGGGCGGGAGGACGGCCUUCGGGUUGGAAACCGCUUUCAGCAGGGACGAAGCUUUUUGUGACGGUACCUGCAGAAGAAGCACCGGCUAACUACGUG